GCGGACACCACUGACCAAAGACUCAUUGGCCCAAGUGCUCCUCAAGACAUUUCUGGUGUGGAACUCCUCAGGAGAUGAAAAGAUGAGCAACACCAAAAAUGGUGCAUCACCUUUACAUUUCUUGUCUUCUUCUAUGCGGUACCACGAUUCAUGAGGAAGGAAUGACGGCUUGGCUUUCUGGGAAGAACAAUGGAGACAUAGGCUGACACUGCUAUGGACCAAUAGGCUGUCAGCCAUUAUGUGGAAGCCUGCGAGAUGAAUUCACUGCCCUGAAAUAGGCAGAUAGUGGUGCCACUUAUUAUUAAGGUAAAUGCUGACCAGCAGACAAAAUAAUAGUAAAACAGCUCAGAAAACUAACACAGACAGCCUGUGGAUACAUAGGAU